UGCGGCUGGAUCCCCUCCUUUCUAAGGAUAUAUUCGGAACAUCUUCUUCAGAAGAUGUGGAAUAACGUGACAUAUUGUAUUCAGUUUUGAAUGUUUAUUUAACAUUCAAAAAAAUGGGCCUAUAGCUCAGCUGGUUAGAGCGCACGCCUGAUAAGCGUGAGGUCGGUGGUUCGAGUCCACUUAGGCCCACCAUUAUUUGUACAUUGAAAACUAGGUAAGUAAGUAAAAUAUAGAUUUUACCAAGCAAAACCGAGUGAAUAAAGAGUUUUAAAUAAGCUUGAAUUCAUAAGAAAUAAUCGCUAGUGUUCGAAAGAACACUCACAAGAUUAAUAACGCGUUUCCUGUAGGAUGGAAACAUAGAUUAAGUUAUUAAGGGCGCACGGUGGAUGCCUUGGCACUAGAAGCCGAUGAAGGACGUUACUAACGACGAUAUGCUUUGGGGAGCUGUAAGUAAGCUUUGAUCCAGAGAUUUCCGAAUGGGGAAACCCGG
rnacentral:misc_RNA from 1 species